AUACGUAGGGAGCAAGCGUUGUCCGGAUUUACUGGGUGUAAAGGGUGCGCAGGCGGCUUUGCAAGUCAGCUGUGAAAUCUAUGGGCUCAACCCAUAAAUUGCAGUUGAAACUGUAGAGCUUGAGUGAAGUAGAGGUAGGCGGAAUUCCCGGUGUAGCGGUGAAAUGCGUAGAGAUCGGGAGGAACACCAGUGGCGAAGGCGGCCUACUGGGCUUUAACUGACGCUCAGGCACGAAAGCAUGGGUAGCAAACAGGAUUAGAUACCCUGGUAGUCCACGCUGUAAACGAUGAAUACUAGGUGUGGGGGGACUGACCCCCUCCGUGCCGCAGUUAACACAAUAAGUAUUCCACCUGGGGAGUACGAUCGCAAGAUUGAAACUCAAAGGAAUUGACGGGG
rnacentral:rRNA from 1 species